CAUGCAAGUCGAGGGGUAGAAAGAGCUUGCUUUUUUGAGACCGGCGCACGGGUGAGUAACGCGUAUGCAACCUACCUUAUACAGGGGAAUAGCCCGAAGAAAUUCGGAUUAAUGCUCCAUGGUUUAUCGAUAUGGCAUCGUAUUGAUAAUAAAGAUUUAUCGGUAUAAGAUGGGCAUGCGUAUCAUUAGCUAGUUGGUGUGGUAACGGCAUACCAAGGCAACGAUGAUUAGGGGUCCUGAGAGGGAGAUCCCCCACACUGGUACUGAGACACGGACCAGACUCCUACGGGAGGCAGCAGUGAGGAAUAUUGGUCAAUGGAGGCAACUCUGAACCAGCCAUGCCGCGUGCAGGAUGACGGUCCUAUGGAUUGUAAACUGCUUUUGUACAGGAAGAAACCUCCCUACGAGUAGGGACUUGACGGUACUGUAAGAAUAAGGAUCGGCUAACUCCGUGCCAGCAGCCGCGGUAAUACGGAGGAUCCGAGCGUUAUCCGGAAUUAUUGGGUUUAAAG
rnacentral:rRNA from 1 species